rnacentral:rRNA from 1 species
AUGAACGCUGGCGGCGUGCCUAAUACAUGCAAGUCGAGCGAACAGAUGAGGAGCUUGCUCCUCUGACGUUAGCGGCGGACGGGUGAGUAACACGUGGAUAACCUACCUAUAAGACUGGGAUAACUUCGGGAAACCGGAGCUAAUACCGGAUAAUAUAUUGAACCGCAUGGCUCAAUAGUGAAAGACGGUUUUGCUGUCACUUAUAGAUGGAUCCGCGCCGCAUUAGCUAGUUGGUAAGGUAACGGCUUACCAAGGCAACGAUGCGUAGCCGACCUGAGAGGGUGAUCGGCCACACUGGAACUGAGACACGGUCCAGACUCCUACGGGAGGCAGCAGUAGGGAAUCUUGCGCAAUGGGCGAAAGCCUGACGGAGCAACGCCGCGUGAGUGAUGAAGGUCUUCGGAUCGUAAAACUCUGUUAUUAGGGAAGAACAAAUGUGUAAGUAACUAUGCACGUCUUGACGGUACCUAAUCAGAAAGCCACGGCUAACUACGUG